rnacentral:rRNA from 1 species
AACGAACGCUAGCGGCAUGCCUAACACAUGCAAGUCGAACGAGACCUUCGGGUCUAGUGGCGCACGGGUGCGUAACGCGUGGGAACCUGCCCUUAGGUUCGGAAUAACUCCCCGAAAGGGGUGCUAAUACCGGAUAAUGUCUUCGGACCAAAGAUUUAUCGCCUUUGGAUGGGCCCGCGUUGGAUUAGCUAGUUGGUAGGGUAAAAGCCUACCAAGGCGACGAUCCAUAGCUGGUCUGAGAGGAUGAUCAGCCACACUGGGACUGAGACACGGCCCAGACUCCUACGGGAGGCAGCAGUGGGGAAUAUUGGACAAUGGGCGAAAGCCUGAUCCAGCAAUGCCGCGUGAGUGAUGAAGGCCUUAGGGUUGUAAAGCUCUUUUACCCGGGAUGAUAAUGACAGUACCGGGAGAAUAAGCACCGGCUAACUCCGUG